rnacentral:SRP_RNA from 1 species
AUUGGUCGAGUGGAAAAGAGUAAACCUGUAACUUCGGCUCUAAGGGGUAUGGAGUGCUUCGGGAACUCGUACGAUUCUCAACCUUGGUGCAGAUGUCGGGUCUUACCUGAGAUGACUGUCGACACCGGCGUAUUCUCGAAGGAGUGCGUCGGGGUCGUUGAUGAGGGGGGCAUCGCGUGAGGCCGGGAACGGAGCAACGCAAACUCGCCGCAGCCAUCAGCAGGAAGAUAGCCCGACAGAACCAUCUGAGAAUCCUCUGCGAGGCCUCUCGCU